rnacentral:rRNA from 1 species
UACGGAGGGGGUUAGCGUUGUUCGGAAUUACUGGGCGUAAAGCGCACGUAGGCGGAUCAGAAAGUUGGGGGGUGAAAUCCCGGGGUCAACCCCGGAACUGCCUCCAAAAACUCCUGGUCUUGAGUUCGAGAGAGGUGAGUGGAAUUCCGAGUGUAGAGGUGAAAUUCGUAGAUAUUCGGAGGAACACCAGUGGCGAAGGCGGCUCACUGGCUCGAUACUGACGCUGAGGUGCGAAAGUGUGGGGAGCAAACAGGAUUAGAUACCCGGUAGUCC